ACCACUAUCCACCCUGCCGUAU
rnacentral:miRNA from 1 species